rnacentral:rRNA from 1 species
AACGAACGCUGGCGGCAUGCCUAACACAUGCAAGUCGAACGAGAACUUCGGGUCUAGUGGCGCACGGGUGCGUAACGCGGGGGAACCUGCCCUUAGGUUCGGAAUAACUCCCCGAAAGGGGUGCUAAUACCGGAUAAUGUCUUCGGACCAAAGAUUUAUCGCCUUGGGAUGGGCCCGCGUUGGAUUAGCUAGUUGGUAGGGUAAAAGCCUACCAAGGCGACGAUCCAUAGCUGGUCUGAGAGGAUGAUCAGCCACACUGGGACUGAGACACGGCCCAGACUCCUACGGGAGGCAGCAGUGGGGAAUAUUGGACUAUGGGCGGAAGCCUGAUCCAGCAAUGCCGCGUGAGUGAUGAAGGCCUUAGGGUUGUAAAGCUCUUUUACCCGCGAUGAUAAUGACAGUACCGGGAGAAUAAGCUCCGGCUAACUCCGUG